rnacentral:rRNA from 12 species
UGUAGAAUGAACCGGCGAGUUGCGUUGUGGUGCAAGGUUAAGUCAGAAAAGACGGAGCCGAAGCGAAAGCGAGUCUGAAGAGGGCGAGAUAGUAUCAUGACGCAGACCCGAAACCAAGUGACCUACCCAUGACCAGGUUGAAGGCGUGGUAAAACACGCUGGAGGACCGAACCCACGCAAGUUGAAAAUUGCGGGGAUGAGUUGUGGGUAGCGGUGAAAUUCCAAACGAACUUGGAGAUAGCUGGUUCUC